rnacentral:rRNA from 1 species
UGAAGCGAAAGCGGAACGACCCUUCGGGGAGCAAUCACAGGUGCUGCAUGGCUGUCGUCAGCUCGUGUCGUGAGAUGUUCGGUUAAGUCCGCUAACGAGCGCAACCCUCGCCGCGUGUUACAAGUGUCACGCGGGACUGCCAGUCUUAAGCUGGAGGAAGGUGGGGAUGACGUCAAGUCAGCAUGGCCUUUAUAUCCUGGGCUACACACACGCUACAAUGGCCGGUACAAUGGGUCGCGAAGUCGCGAGGCGAAGCCAAUCCACAAAGCCGGUCUCAGUUCAGAUUGCAGGCUGCAACCCGCCUGCAUGAAGACGGAGUUGCUAGUAACCGCAGGUCAGCUAUACUGCGGUGAAUACGUUCCCGGGCCUUGUACACACCGCCCGUCACGUCAUGGGAGCUGGUAACACCUGAAGCCGGUAUCCGAACCGCAAGGACGGAGCCGUCGAGGGUGGGGCUGGUGACUGGGACGAAGUCGUAACAAGGUAGGUGUACCGGAAGG